CCAAUUUGGGCGGCUGAUUGUAAAGACUCGCAGUUCUUCAAAAGUGCUCGCCAAACGUCAGAAGAAAACUGGUCAGUCGCAGUUACCAAAUAUUUCUGCAGAACAUGUUGCAGACAGCACAGAAGGCACAUUCACCUCUGAGGUGCAACAGACCCACAA